rnacentral:tRNA from 1 species
GGAAUUGUGGCUCAUUGGUAGAGUGCUUGCCUAGCAUGCAUGAGGCACUGGGUUCGAUCUUCAGCACCA